rnacentral:precursor_RNA from 1 species
AGGGUCCAGCAGGGAGGGGUGGCAGGGAUUCCCGCCUGUUACAGAGACUCCCCCACACCUUUCUCCCAACAGGUGUUCCCG